rnacentral:rRNA from 1 species
CCUACGGGUGGCAGCAGUGAGGAAUAUUGGACAAUGGGCGCGAGCCUGAUCCAGCCAAGUCGCGUGAAGGAUGACGUCCCUACGGGUUGUAAACUUCUUUUGUAAAGGAAUAAAGUGCAGCACGUGUGCCUGUUUCUCUGUACUUUAUGAAUAAAGCACGGCUAACUCCGGGCCAGGAGCCGCGGUAAUACGGAGGAUCCGAGCGUUAUCCGGAUUUACUGGGUUUAAAGGGAGCGUAGAUGGGUUGUUAAGUCAGAUGUGAAAGUUUGUGGCUCAACCGUAAAAUUGCAAUGGAGACUGGGAGUCUUGAGUACAGUUGAGGUAGGCGGAAUUCGUGGUGUAGCGGUGAAAUGCUUAGAUAUCACGAAGAACUCCGAUUGCGAAGGCAGCUUACUAAACUGCCACUGACAUUGAUGCUCGAAAGUGUGGGUAUCAAACAGGAUUAGAUACCCGAGUAGUC